rnacentral:tRNA from 1 species
GGGAGUGGAUUGGGCCUGGUGGCCUGAGCAGUCUUCAAAACUGUUUGGGGCUCGACUGAGCCUCGGUAGGUUCGAUUCCUACACGCUCCCGCCA